rnacentral:rRNA from 1 species
UCCGUAGGCAGCGAGCGUUGUUCGGAGUUACUGGGCGUAAAGGGUGUGUAGGCGGUUGUUUAAGUUUGGUGUGAAAUCUCCCGGCUCAACUGGGAGGGUGCGCCGAAUACUGAAUGACUUGGAGUGCGGGAGAGGAAAGUGGAAUUCCUGGUGUAGCGGUGAAAUGCGUAGAUAUCAGGAGGAACACCGGUGGUGUAGACGGCUUUCUGGACCGUAACUGACGCUGAGACACGAAAGCGUGGGUAGCAAACAGG